rnacentral:rRNA from 1 species
CUGCUGCCUUCCGUAGGAGUUUGGGCCGUGUCUCAGUCCCAAUGUGGCCGUUCACCCUCUCAGGCCGGCUACUGAUCGUCGCCUUGGUAGGCCGUUACCCUACCAACCAGCUAAUCAGACGCGGGUCCAUCCUGCACCACCUUAGUUUUUCACACCUGGCCAUGCGGCCUCGUGCGCUUAUGCGGUAUUAGCACCUGUUUCCAGGUGUUAUCCCCCGGUGCAGGGCAGGUUCCCCACGCGUUACUCACCCGUCCGCCACUAAG